rnacentral:rRNA from 2 species
CGAGCGGCGGACGGGUGAGUAAUGUCUGGGAAACUGCCUGAUGGAGGGGGAUAACUACUGGAAACGGUAGCUAAUACCGCAUGACCUCGCAAGANCAAAGUGGGGGACCUUCGGGCCUCACGCCAUCGGAUGUGCCCAGAUGGGAUUAGCUAGUAGGUGAGGUAAUGGCUCACCUAGGCGACGAUCCCUAGCUGGUCUGAGAGGAUGACCAGCCACACUGGAACUGAGACACGGUCCAGACUCCUACGGGAGGCAGCAGUGGGGAAUAUUGCACAAUGGGCGCAAGCCUGAUGCANCCAUGCCGCGUGUGUGAAGAAGGCCUUAGGGUUGUAAAGCACUUUCAGCGAGGAGGAAGGGUUCAGUGUUAAUAGCACUGUACAUUGACGUUACUCGCAGAAGAANCACCGGCUAAC